UACUGUUAGUGAUUUAUAAAAUUAAACGGAUGGGAACCUCUCUGAAAAAGACUGAAGAUUUUUAAAAACUGAAACAGUG